rnacentral:rRNA from 1 species
AGCUACGGCCGCGUGGCGCGUUGGUGCACCUGAUCCCUCGAUCUCGGAAGUUAAGCAACGCACGGUCCGGACAGUUCUUGGAUGGGGGACCACCCAAGGACGACCGUAUUGCUGUAGCCG